ACUCCAACCUCUGCAGCAGUGACCUCAACUCCCAGCACUUCAAAACCCAGACAGAAACGUCCAACAAACUCCCAGUCCAGGAGCGCUGCAAAACCAACGCCAGUUGUUUUUCUGCAGAAAAUCAUCAACUGUGGAGAAGAAGAAGGGAAAUAAGAAAGAAAGAAAACCCUAAAAACCACCCUGGCGCCCGGGCCCGCAGGCCUCGGGCCGGCUCUGAAAAGUUUGGGCUGUGCACGUGAUGAGCGCGUAGGCGGGAGCCCCAGACAGGACCCGGGCGGGCAUUUCGAGAAAAAGCAGCGGUGACAGCCUUUGGUCCCCAUCUCCAUUGUUCCUGCCAGCUCUGGACCCCAGGCUGCAUGAGACGUAUAGAACUAUUGAAUGGUACAGUUUGAGAUCUUCGAAACCAUCAGGACUGAUCAUUUUCUGGCUACUUUCUACAUAGGAAUCCUAGAGUUCCUUGGAGAGGAUAUGAAGGUUAUUCUCAGGCCAUGCAGAUGGGCAAGAAAGGAUGUGCGUCCAUGGUUCCUCUUCAAAUCCAACCAAAACAGCCUUGCUUCCGUUGGCUUUAUAUAAUACUGCAACUCUUGAUAAUCUGAUUUAACACAAAUUUCCUCAUUGAGUUUCUCCUCAUGAAGAAACGGCCUCAGUGAGGUAAAUCGGAAUGCACAGGAGCACAUAGCAGGUUAGUGCAGACCAGAAAUCAAACCCAGGCUUUCUGACUGCUCAAUAGACCACAAUCUACCAUGCUACCAUGGAAACUUUAAAACAGAUGAAAGUAAAAACAAACAAACAACAACUUAAAAAAACAAAAACAAAAACAAAAGCAAAACCCAGAGCCUCUCUAGGAAAUACCAACGUGCUUUUGCCAAGUGGGGUUUCUCUCACUUCAUAAGAGCAGUAAACACUAAACCAAGGGAAUGUGAAUUUAGAGGUUAGAAAAGAUAACCAGAGAUUUGGCCGUGCGUGGGGCUCAUGCCUGUAAUCCCAGCACUUUGGGAGGCUGAGGCUGGUGGGUUGCCUGAGGUCAGGAGUUUGAGACCAGCCUGGCCAACAUAGUGAAACCCUGUCUCUACUAAAAAUACAAAAAUUAGCUGGGUGUGGUGGCGUGCACCUGUAAUCCCAGCUACUAGGGAGGCUGAGGCAGGAGAAUCGCUUGAACUGGAGAGGUGGAGGUUGCAGUGAGCCGAGAUGGUGCCAUUGCACUCCAGCCCGGGCAAGAAGAUUGAAAUUCCAUCUCAAAAAAAAAAAAAAAAGAAGAAGAAGAAGAAAAGAUGCCAGAGAUUUGGCGGGGUGCCGGGCUCAUGCCUGUAAUCCCAGCACUUUGGGAGGCCAAAUGGACAGAUCACUUAAAGUUAGGAGUUCCAGAAAAGAUGCCAGAGGUUGGGCCUUUACAUUGUUUUGUAAAUUCGUCAAACCUUAAUCUUAUUUAACUUCCCCACCUAUACAAAAAUUAAUGCAGUAAUUGCUUUUUAAGGAAGCAUUCCAAAGGCCAAAUAAUUCAUAUAUGUCAAGUACCCUGGGAUUCAGGAAAGAAAAAUUCUCUAUAGCUCUAAAGCAAGGAUUAUAAUUUGAGGUUUCCUGACAGUUUUUUUUAAGAAAAGAAAUACCAACCUUUCUUUUCUGGGCCAAAUGCCAAGGUAGGUAAUAACCCCUUGCCCAUUUUCUUUCCCCAAGCUGUUUUAACUAGAUAAGAGCUCUGCCUUCAUUUCCUUUUGUGAACUGACUUGGGAUGUUGCCACAUGCCCUUCAACUACUGUCAAUGCUCUAGUUUGCUGAGUGCUUUCCCCUUCAGAAUGGAAAAGGUUUUGGCAUAAAUAUCUAGCUUUCUUCAAGGUACAAAAUGCUUUCCAAGGAGCAGAGGACAGAGGGAACAAACUUUCAUGUUUCCCAAUUGUAUUAGUCUGUUCUCAUGCUGCUAAUAAAGACAUACCCAAGACUGUGUAAUUUAUAAAGGAAAAAGGUUUUACUGACUCACAGUUCCACAUGGCUGGGGAGGCCUCACAAUCAUGGUGGAAGAUGAAGGAAGAGCAAAGGGAUGUCUUCCAUGGCCAGCAAAAAGAGAAUGAAAGCCAAGGGAAGGAGAAAACACCUUAUAAAAUCAUCAGAUCUCAUGAGACUUAUUCACUACCAUGACAACGGUAUGGGUGAACUGCCCCCAUGAUUCAGUUAUCUCCCACCGGGUCCCUCCCACAAAAUGUGGGAAUUAUGGGAGCUACAAUUCAAGAUGAGAUUUGGGUGGGGACAGAGCCAAACCAUAGCACCAAUACUAGAUCCCUCAGCUUCAAGGUGGCUCCAGUGAUCCUAAGAGGAUCAAGGAAGCCCUACCUCCCUGCUUGUCCUGGAUGUCUCUGACACAUGUUAAGGGAAAAGCAUUAAUAAAGUGCUCAAGAAACAAUUGUUCAAUAGGUCAGUCUUAUAGUCAAUACCUCAUCCCAUGCUCUGUCCCCUACUCUUUGAAAAACUGCCCAAAGAAACAAUGGAUCCACGGAGUCACAAAAACAGGGCAUCCAGUGACCCUCCCCAUCUUACCAGCAAUGUGACUUUCCCACAGUAUAACGACAGCAGUGCCCAGAGCCCAAUACAAGCAGGGCUCUACACUGAGACAGAGCUGAGUUCUAGUAGCAACUACCCUCCUUAUAGCAGUGUUAUUUUAGGCAAGUUUCUCAGCUUCUGGAAGGUUCUUUUCUCAGGCUUACAUACUUUUUACCCGAAAAGAUCUUGGAGUCGUCCAUAUCAGCACAAGCAAUCUACAUUAUUAGUUUUUUUAAUGGCUGCACAGCAUUCCAUGAUAUGGCUGUACCAUUACUUAACUAUCGAUGAACAUUUAGGCAGUUUCCAGUCUCUUUCUGCAGGAGCCAAUGCUGCAAUGUGGUGGGUCAUAACUUU
rnacentral:lncRNA from 10 species